rnacentral:rRNA from 1 species
UCAGCAGGGAAGCGGUACCUGCAGAAGAAGCACCGGCUAACUACGUGCCAGCAGCCGCGGUAAUACGUAGGGUGCGAGCGUUGUCCGGAAUUAUUGGGCGUAAAGAGCUUGUAGGCGGUUUGUCGCGUCUGCUGUGAAAUCCGGGGCUCAACCCCGGACUUGCAGUGGGUACGGGCAGACUAGAGUGUGGUAGGGGAGACUGGAAUUCCUGGUGUAGCGGUGAAAUGCGCAGAUAUCAGGAGGAACACCGAUGGCGAAGGCAGGUCUCUGGGCCAUACUGACGCUGAGAAGCGAAAGCAUGGGGAGCGAACAGGAUUAGAUACCCUGGUAGUCCAUGCCGUAAACGUUGGGCGCUAGGUGUGGGACCGUGCCGCAGCUAACGCAUUAAGCGCCCCGCCUGGGGAGUACGGCCGCAAGGCUAAAACUCAAAGGAAUUGACGGGGGCCCGCACAAGCGGCGGAGCAUGCGGAUUAAUUCGAUGCAACGCGAAGAACCUUACCAAGGCUUGACAUA